rnacentral:rRNA from 1 species
CCGGCACGGGUGAGUAACACGUAUCCAACCUGCCGUCUACUCUUGGCCAGCCUUCUGAAAGGAAGAUUAAUCCAGGAUGGGAUCAUGAGUUCACAUGUCCGCAUGAUUAAAGGUAUUUUCCGGUAGACGAUGGGGAUGCGUUCCAUUAGAUAGUAGGCGGGGUAACGGCCCACCUAGUCAACGAUGGAUAGGGGUUCUGAGAGGAAGGUCCCCCACAUUGGAGCUGAGACACGGUCCAA